GCCGGAGGACAGCUAGCUUCCGUCCUCCUCUUGGUACAUUGACUUCAAUACAAAACCUAGGUGGCUCUUGGUUCUCACCCCCUUCAAUAGACUUCCACAGUAAUUAUGACAACUUCCGGAGGACGUGCUCCAACCUACCAGAGCUCUUGCAACAUGAACUGACAUGUUGUCCACCCAAUCAAAGGAGCAGAGAAUGAAUCUAGUACUGAAAGCAUAAGCUAACAUGUGUUUGUGUGGAAGCCCUCCAUUCUAUGACGAGAACGACGCCAAGCUCUUUGAGCAGAUUCUGAAGGCUGAAUACGAGUUUGACUCUCCUUACUGGGGCCCUAUCUCCAACUCAGCUUGGUCUGCAUAAUGGAACCUAUGGAAGAGUCCCAAAAGUCUGAACCCCACCCACACAGAUUUUCCAUCCUCCACAAUGAAGGUAUUGAUUUUUACUUUUAUAUUAUUGAACCCUUAUUUUAGAAGAUAAGUUGAUACAUUGAUGCUUUACCUCAGAA